AGCUUCCUAUGGGCAGAGGAUAAUGAAAAUAGGCCAAGAUAUCAAAACCAAUUAUGGAUUUUUUUUGUUCUUUCUUCACUCCCACUGCUUCAUUUGACUAGCCUUAA
rnacentral:sRNA from 1 species